rnacentral:rRNA from 1 species
UACGUAGGGGGCAAGCGUUGUCCGGAUUUAUUGGGCGUAAAGAGCUCGUAGGCGGUUUGUCGCGUCGUUCGUGAAAACUCACAGCUUAACUGUGAGCUUGCGGUCGAUACGGGCAGGCUAGAGUUCGGUAGGGGAGACUGGAAUUCCUGGUGUAGCGGUGAAAUGCGCAGAUAUCAGGAGGAACACCGGUGGCGAAGGCGGGUCUCUGGGCCGAUACUGACGCUGAGGAGCGAAAGCGUGGGGAGCGAACAGG